GGCCUUAUGGUCUAGUAGCAUGAUUCUCGCUUUGGGUGUACACCGCUGCGAGAGGUCCUGGGUUCAAUUCCCAGUGAGGCCC